AGAAUAGAGAUUAAAUCUAGUCCAUCAAAACCGCUUGAUCGUGCGGUUAUAAUUAAAUCUGUAUCCCAAUUUUAAUUACCAAUUAAAAUGAACAAAUGAUAAUUUUAUUAAGAAAAGGGUAUAACAGUAACUACAUUUUGGGUUAAAAACUGCAAGCCCUAAAAUCACUCCUCACGUUCUUCAACCCCUCACUCUCUCUCUCUCUCUCAUUCCUCAACCUCUCGGUCGUCUCUCACAUUCUCUGCAAAAUAACUAGCCUCUUUCUUUUUCCAUGGCGUCGUCGCGGCGAACGAGGGGUCGGCGUGGUGGACGUUUGAAAUCGAACAAGUAAGGCAAUGGGUUUUUGAGUUUUGUUCGAUUGCUGCUUCAAGAAACAAUUUUUGCAAAUAUUGAACAGCUACAAGAGCUUAGGUAAGAAUGCAAAAGAAAUAUGAUGCAGAUGAGAUCAUUGAGAUGGGCACUCAAGCUGAUUAUGGAUUCAAGUUGGUCACUCCAUCUAUAGAAAAGAAAGAGUUGGCACUGAAGAUUGAGAAAGAGAAAUAGCUGAUUAUAAAUUGAGAUAUGAUACGAUCGUUGCCAAUAGAGGAGUUAUGGGAAUAAGCUAUCCAUCUGUUUGCCAUUAUCUGAGGUAGUUCUACGAGUUUUCCUACUUGUUGCCACCUCACUAUACUCCUAUGCUCUAAUUGCUGGAAAUAGAAGUGCUCAUGCACUAUGCUUAUUUAGCUAGCGAAAGUUCAUUUUUUGGAUGAACGUGCAUAUUGAGGAAAUGCAUCUUUUGUACAUUUUAGGACGAUUGAGAGCAUCUAGCCAUCUGUGAGGAAAUAUGUAGCAAUUAUAUUUAAGAGGAGAUCAUGAGGAUGUUUUAUCUCUUACAUAUGUUAUUAUCGCCAGUUCGUUUGUAUUGAUAGCUAAAAUGCUAAAACUAGUGUACAAUCUGAUUAAUAAAAAAGCUUUGCUAUAAAUACCAUUUUUGAAUAUUUCUCCUUAGCU